rnacentral:rRNA from 1 species
GAUGAACGCUGGCGGCGUGCCUAAUACAUGCAAGUCGAACGAAACUUCUUUAUCACCGAGUGCUUGCACUCACCGAUAAAGAGUUGAGUGGCGAACGGGUGAGUAACACGUGGGCAACCUGCCCAAAAGAGGGGGAUAACACUUGGAAACAGGUGCUAAUACCGCAUAACCAUAGUUACCGCAUGGUAACUAUGUAAAAGGUGGCUAUACUACCGCUUUUGGAUGGGCCCGCGGCGCAUUAGCUAGUUGGUAGGGUAAAGGCUUACCAAGGCAAUGAUGCGUAGCCGAAUUGAGAGGUUGAUCGGCCACAUUGGGACUGAGACACGGCCCAAACUCCUACGGGAGGCAGCAGUAGGGAAUCUUCCACAAUGGGCGAAAGCCUGAUGGAGCAACGCCGCGUGGGCGAAGAAGGUCUGCGGAUCGUAAAACCCUGUUGUUAGAGAAGAAAGUGCGUGAGAGUAACGGUUCACGUUUCGACGGUAUCUAACCAGAAAGCCACGGCUAACUACGU